UUGGGUUAAGUCCCGCAACGAGCGCAACCCUUGUUCCUAGUUGCCAGCAUUGAGUUGGGCACUCUAGGGAGACUGCCGGUGACAAACCGGAGGAAGGUGAGGAUGACGUCAAGUCAGCAUGCCCCUUACGCUCUGGGCUACACACGUGCUACAAUGGCGCGGACAAAGGGUCGCGAGCGCGCGAGCGUGAGCCAAUCCCAAAAACCGCGUCUCAGUUCAGAUCGCAGGCUGCAACUCGCCUGCGUGAAGGCGGAAUCGCUAGUAAUCGCAGAUCAGCAUGCUGCGGUGAAUACGUUCCCGGGCCUUGUACACACCGCCCGUCACACCAUGGGAGCUGGCCAUGCCCGAAGUCGGAGCACCCGCCGAAGGCAGGGCUGGUGACUGGGGUGAAGUCGUAACAAGGUAGCCGUACCGGAAGGUGCGGCUGGAUCACCUCCUUU
rnacentral:rRNA from 3 species